rnacentral:rRNA from 1 species
GACGAACGCUGGCGGCGUGCUUAACACAUGCCUGUCGAACGGAAAGGCCCUGCUUUUGUGGGGUGCUCGAGUGGCGAACGGGUGAGUAACACGUGAGUAACCUGCCCUUGACUUUGGGAUAACUUCAGGAAACUGGGGCUAAUACCGGAUAGGAGCUCCUGCUGCAUGGUGGGGGUUGGAAAGUUUCGGCGGUUGGGGAUGGACUCGCGGCUUAUCAGCUUGUUGGUGGGGUAGUGGCUUACCAAGGCUUUGACGGGUAGCCGGCCUGAGAGGGUGACCGGCCACAUUGGGACUGAGAUACGGCCCAGACUCCUACGGGAGGCAGCAGUGGGGAAUAUUGCACAAUGGGCGGAAGCCUGAUGCAGCAACGCCGCGUGCGGGAUGACGGCCUUCGGGUUGUAAACCGCUUUCGCCUGUGACGAAGCGUGAGUGACGGUAAUGGGUAAAGAAGCACCGGCUAACUACGUG